GUAACGCGUAUGCAAUCUGCCUUCCCAGAGGGAUAGCCCAGAGAAAUUUGGAUUAAUACCUCAUAGCAUCAUGACCCGGCAUCGGGAUAUGAUUAAAGUCACAACGGUGGAAGAUGAGCAUGCGUCCCAUUAGCUAGUUGGUAAGGUAACGGCUUACCAAGGCUACGAUGGGUAGGGGUCCUGAGAGGGAGAUCCCCCACACUGGUACUGAGACACGGACCAGACUCCUACGGGAGGCAGCAGUGAGGAAUAUUGGUCAAUGGGCGCAAGCCUGAACCAGCCAUGCCGCGUGCAGGAUGACGGUCCUAUGGAUUGUAAACUGCUUUUGUACGGGAAGAAACCCUCCUACGUGUAGGAGCUUGACGGUACCGUAAGAAUAAGGAUCGGCUAACUCCGUGCCAGCAGCCGCGGUAAUACGGAGGAUCCAAGCGUUAUCCGGAAUCAUUGGGUUUAAAGGGUCUGUAGGCGGUCUUGUAAGUCAGUGGUGAAAGCCCAUCGCUCAACGGUGGAACGGCCAUUGAUACUGCUGGACUUGAAUUAUUGGGAAGCAACUAGAAUAUGUAGUGUAGCGGUGAAAUGCUUAGAGAUUACAUGGAAUACCAAUUGCGAAGGCAGGUUGCUACCAAUGGAUUGACGCUGAUGGACGAAAGCGUGGGUAGC
rnacentral:rRNA from 1 species